rnacentral:tRNA from 1 species
GGUGGUUAAGCGCUCGGCUGCUAACCGAAAGAUCAGUGGUUCGAAUCCACCAGCCACUC